rnacentral:rRNA from 1 species
UACGUAGGGGGCAAGCGUUGUCCGGAUUUAUUGGGCGUAAAGAGCGUGUAGGCGGCCAGACAGGUCAGCUGUGAAAACUCGAGGCUCAACCUCGAGACGUCGGUUGAAACCGUCUGGCUAGAGUCCGGAAGAGGAGAGUGGAAUUCCUGGUGUAGCGGUGAAAUGCGCAGAUAUCUGGAGGAACACCGGUGGCGAAGGCGGCAUCCUGGACCAUGACUGACGCUGAGGAGCGAAAGCCAGGGGAGCAAACGGG